UGAGGAAUAUUGCGCAAUGGGGGCAACCCUGACGCAGCAACGCCGCGUGAGUGAGGAAGGUUUUCGGACCGUAAAGCUCUGUCGAGCGGGAAGAAAUGCAUGGUGGCUAAUAUCCAUCAUGCUUGACGGUACCGCUAAAGGAAGCACCGGCUAACUCCGUGCCAGCAGCCGCGGUAAUACGGGGGGUGCGAGCGUUGUUCGGAAUUAUUGGGCGUAAAGAGCGUGUAGGCGGCCGAAUAAGUCAGAUGUGAAAUCCCUGGGCUUAACCCAGGACGUGCAUUUGAAACUAUUCGGCUGGAGUAGGGGAGAGGAAAGUGGAAUUCCUGGUGUAGAGGUGAAAUUCGUAGAUAUCAGGAGGAACACCGGUGGCGAAGGCGACUUUCUGGCCCUAUACUGACGCUGAGACGCGAGAGCGUGGGGAGCAAACA
rnacentral:rRNA from 1 species